rnacentral:rRNA from 1 species
GACGAACGCUGGCGGCGUGCUUAACACAUGCAAGUCGAACGAUGAAGCCGGAGCUUGCUCUGGUGAAUUAGUGGCGAACGGGUGAGUAACACGUGAGUAACCUGCCCUUGACUCUGGGAUAACUGCUAGAAAUGGUAGCUAAUACCGGAUACGACCCUCGGAGGCAUCUCCAGGGGGUGGAGAGAAUUUCGAUCAAGGAUGGACUCGCGGCCUAUCAGCUAGUUGGUGAGGUAAUGGCUCACCAAGGCGACGACGGGUAGCCGGCCUGAGAGGGUGACCGGCACACUGGGACUGAGACACGGCCCAGACUCCUACGGGAGGCAGCAGUGGGGAAUAUUGCACAAUGGGCGCAAGCCUGAUGCAGCAACGCCGCGUGAGGGAUGACGGCCUUCGGGUUGUAAACCUCUUUUAGUAGGGAAGAAGCGAAAGUGAUGGUACCUGCAGAAAAAGCACCGGCUAACUACGUGCCAGCCGCCGCGGUAA